UGCAAACAGAGUCUAAAAACCCCAAAACUGAAAAAAUUUGUGUUUUGGUUGCUGAUACAGUUGUUAUUGGUCAAAAUGCUCCAGAAGUGGUGACUUCUAUGAGUUCUAAAGCCGUAAAAGAUGUGGCUUACUCAUUCAACGAGGAUGAAGAAGAAGAGGAGGAGCAGCCGAAGGUCAAAGCUAAGCCUGUUGCUGCCAAUGGACUCUCAUCCAAGGCUACACUUAGAUCAGUUAACCACGAGACAUCAAGGGAGGAACUAAGACGGCAACACCAGGCAGAAUUGGCCCGCCAAAAGAACGAAGAAACUGCACGAAGGCUCACAGGAGGAAGUUCUGGGGGUGCAGAUAGCCGUGGUUCUGCGAAAGCCACUGGAGAUUUGCUUGCAUAUAAGAACAUUAAUGAUCUGCCACCUCCAAGAGAAUUGAUGAUUCAGGUUGACCAGCGGAGUGAGGCUAUUCUUUUACCUAUUCAUGGUACCAUGAUUCCAUUCCAUAUUGCCACCGUGAAAAGUGUAUCUAGUCAACAAGAUACUAACCGUACCUGCUAUAUCCGAAUAAUGUUCAAUGUUCCUGGCACUCCAUUCACUCCUCAUGACACAAAUACUCUAAAGUUCCAGGGAUCAAUAUAUGUUAAAGAAGUUUCAUUUCGUUCCAAGGACCCAAGGCACAUCACUGAAGUGGUUCAACAAAUAAGAACCCUCCGCAGGCAGGUUGUCUCUAGAGAAUCAGAGAGAGCUGAGAGAGCAACUUUAGUAACACAAGAGAAACUUCAAGUUGCUGGAGCCAAAUUUAAACCAAUCAAGUUGUCAGAUCUGUGGAUUCGUCCAGUAUUUGGUGGUCGCGGGAGAAAGCUUCCUGGUACUCUAGAGGCUCACACAAAUGGAUUCCGGUAUGGAACUUCAAGGCCAGAUGAGAGAGUGGAUGUUAUGUAUGGUAACAUCAAACACGCAUUCUUCCAGCCAGCAGAAAAGGAGAUGAUUACAGUCCUCCACUUUCACCUGCACAAUCACAUAAUGGUGGGGAACAAG
rnacentral:misc_RNA from 1 species